CGGCCGCUCCCCAGUGGCAUCUGAGCAGUAAGAAUGCCGUUUUGCGUGGCCUUUUCCUGCUGACAAGGCCCAGGAACUUUGAUAUGUUGUUCCUGAAUCCCAAAGAUUAAUAUCUGCUGAGGAUCUGGAAGUUCUAGCCUAACCUGAGUAGCAGGAGCCAAUAUGGGUGAUAGAAGCGGACAGGAUGAAAGACAUGGAGCAAAGCAGAGAUGCAUCUUGGAGACAGUGGCCAAAGCCAGCGGCAGAGAAAGGGAGGAUGCAGUUCGGGAUGACCCGAAGCCCUGGAAAGUCCAUUAUCCUACUCCUGACAUUAUAUAAGUGCAAGGCUGGCGAUACAAGGGAGGCGGCGGGAGGCAGCUGCGCUGGCCAGGAACACAGGGUGCGGCUUGAAACGCUCGCGGUUUAAAGUAACAGGAAGCCUGAGCAGCACCGUAAAUCAGGAUUUUUUGACUGCGCUGCUUGUACUGAGCAGAACAAAGUGGACUGAAUGUCCUGAGUAGGUGUGAGUCCCCAUUGCCGGGCCCUGCCGAGGGUGGGGGGGAGGCCUCUAAUUUGACACUGGCCUCAAACUGAAAAUCGCUCAGCAAAAAGUGAGGUUUCAACAUUUUAAGGAAAAUCGAGCUGGAACCAGCAUUAAACAUGAGCCAGAGGAUUUCAGUAACUGCAAGGAAAAUACAGACGGACAAACGUCUCGCGUGGCUGAAGCAGCUGGGAGAAUGUUUCCUCUUCGGAGGCCCGUUUAGGAGCUCAGCGCUGUGGCUGCAGGUGACGAGGCUGGGCCUGGGCCGGGCGGUGUCUGCCUGCUCAUACCAGCUCCUCAGGCCUUAUUAUCCACGCCCCGCCUACAUCGUCCCCUGCUGGACUCUGUGGCUUUGGGGUGAUGGCACUCAAAGACUGGACCCCAAUACUUCUGGAUCUGGGCUGGCUGGAAACAGACACACACGAUUUGUGUAAACCCCCAGAGUUUCCUUCCUGAGCCUCUGAGGGUGUGCAGUGCUGCCUGGGCUGGUGGGCAGCCUCUUUCGGAGACACGGGCUUCCCCUCUGCAUAAUGAGGAACUGACACCACCGCACCGUCUGUUCUGAGAAUCAGACUGGGGUUUGCGCUCUGGUCUGCCUGCCUGGCAUGCUCCUCCUUCCCUUCUCUCAAGGGCCAACUCCAUCAUCCUGUGAGUCUUAC